ensembl:lncRNA novel transcript
GAGCCCGGGUUGGAGGGCGAGACCGUAGGCGAGAAUGGCCGCGCGGGCUGGGAGACCCGGGCCGGUAUGGAGUGAGUGGAGCCGCCCGAGUGCACUGGAUGGAUGGAUGAAGGCACUCUCCCAGGCUUCCAACUCUUGAACACCUGAGCGACCAUCUGGAGCCCACACAUCCUCAACAGAUCACACUGCUGCUUGGCCACUGCUCUCCACCCUCUUCUGAGGCUGCUGCUUAUACCACAGUGUUGAUGGCCUCCUCUCUGCUCCCCAGAGCAGAUGCUCCCACCAACACUGCUGCUCUUGGGCAUCAGAUAGGUUCUGCGAGCUUCACCAUUGUCAGAAGGCCCAGAUGGCUCCGGGAGGUCCCAUGGAUGCUCAGCCCAAACCAGGAGUUUUCUCACACUCCAUGCAAGUGAGUUGGCGCAGAUAGACGUGCGGAAAUUGGAAUCUAACUCCACAUAAACCAGUUAUGUAUACGGGAAGUCCUUAUUUUGCAUAGUAAUGCAAGACCAUAAAAAUGACUGUGUAAGCUGAAACCCUGCAAAGCAAUCUUAAUCGAAGGGAAUAAUUACAGUUGUUCUGUGACCUUUAAACAUUUUUGUCAAAACAUUAAACAUUCUCUUACUGUUGUUUAUAAAUGCAUGGGGAAAUGAAAAAUUAACAAAACUAAUAUUUAUUUAUUACACUGUAAUUUAAAACAUUAGAAACAUUGAGAAUUAAGGUGUUUUAUUUCUUUGUAAAGAACAUAUCAAAAGUAGUUUGCACAGUUCUUGCCUUUCUCCCCUUACUGUAUAGCUUAUGAUACAGCUGGAGCAACUUUUCUAUGCCUUGGUGAAUUGUCGUACUUUGUUGUAAGUGUAGUCUAGUUCUAAGUCAGGUCCUAAUGUUUUAUCCUUUGCUCUUGCAAUGUUACAAAAUAUCUAUAAGAAUUCCUUGAAGGUGAAGUUUUUUGCCAGUGCCACUUCCACUGGCACAUCUUCAUUUUCUUGGAAUCUGGAUGCAGAUUUCCCAGCUGCAUGCUUACAUGUGCUAGCAGCUUCAUCACUAGCUUGACAUCAAUCAAUUCAUGCUAAAUUCUGGAAUGAGGAAACAAGCCUUUACUGGCAGUAAAAUAUUCUUCUUCAGUAUCCUUGUAAUUACCAUUUUCUUUCAAUGUGGCAACUAAGAUCAAUGCUUUGGCCAGGAUGCAAGCCAAACUACUUCGGAUUUUGAAAUAUUACAGUCUUCAAUCCAAAGUAGAAAACUCUCCAAGCAUAAGCAGCUUUCUGGUCCUAUUGCAAUUUAAACUAAGAGAUGAAGCAACGUUACCUUGCUUUUAAUACACAUUGGAUUUUUCCAGUGCAGUUUGUUCCAUAGCUCCAUGCAGGCCAUGGUGCAUCCAGUCUUUGCUCUGCUCUUGCCAAUUUCACAUCUUCAAUCUAAUCACAUCCAGUUUACUGCCGGCAUUAUCACUUUUUGUUUCUUUGUUGCAUUUUUAUUUUUGUUAGCUUACCCUCUAUCCAGUGAUCCAUUUUUUGUAAAAUUUUCAUCACAUGGAUUUAUCACUGGAAGACAAGGAGGCAACACAACUUCACAUUUUGCUGUCUGGGCAUGAACUGAGUAACAGAUAUGCAAUGACUAAUCAAGGACAGGCUUUGAAAGAAGUGAUGUGAUUGGUUCAUCAUGAUGUGCAUCUGUUGUUUAUAUCAUGAUUUGCGGACUGGCAAGCAGGCAGUGAAGUUUGUACUUUAUGCAAUUAUAGUUAAUAUAUACUGUGGUGACUGAAAUUUGAACUAGUUUUUGGGAACGGGUAUUAUUUCGCUAAACUGAAACUUGUGCACAUCAGUGCCAUAAAAAGCAAGGACUGCUUAUUAAUGUGUACCAACCAAAUACUUUUGGGCACAUUCACAGCACAGCACUUCCUCCUCCUUGUGGUUGGACGGUUCCACGUGACCAGUCUAGCCAAUGGAUUGUGAGCAGAAGUUACAUGUGUCAGUUCCGUGCCAAACCAUUUGAUGGACAGUCAGUCGUGUCCUAGCCCCUGAGGAUAUCGGAGGAGGUGGCUGCUCUGUUAGCCUAAGUCUCUGAGCAACAAAGGUGAGCAGAGGCCCCCUGCUGAGAUAUGAUGGACAUGUAGCAUAAGCAAGAAGUAAACCUUUGUUUUAAGCCACUGAGAUCUUGGGGUUAUUUGUUUCUGUAGCAUAGCAACUCGUUAUGAUUGAUAUAAAAUAUCAUCAGGAGGUAAUCUAGGAAAAGGAGGAUAGGGAGCUGGGCAGAAUUUAGAACUCAGAAAUUGGCAGCUGAUAGUAAAAGGGCUCCAAAUUUGUAGGGGUAGGAGGAGAGGAAGAAUCAGGGGCAUGUACUUAAAAAAUCUUUAUAUGAUAAAAAAAAAAUUAGCACAGACACAGAAAAUAAAUGUAUAGCUUAAUAAAUUAUUAAAAAAUGAAGGUUAUCCAUUUAUGGAUUAAUAGAUUAAUGGACUAUCAUGGGAGUGGGACUCGUGGUUUAUAAGAAGAGGAAGAGAGACCUGAGCUAGCACUCAGCCCCCUUGCCAUGCAAUGCUCUGUACCAGUUUAGGACUCUGCAGAAAGUGCCUACCAUCAAGAAUGUCUCUCGCCAGACGUGGUAACUUGACCUUGAACUUCUCAGCCUCCAUAACUGUAAGAAAUAA